GGAGACGUAUCGAAGUGGUCAUAACGAGAACGACUCGAAAUCGUUUGACGGUUAACCCCGUCCGUGGGUUCGAAUCCCACCGUCUCCGCCA
rnacentral:tRNA from 2 species